CGCCUUAUACUCCUACGGGAGGCAGCAGUGGGGAAUCUUGCGCAAUGGGCGAAAGCCUGACGCAGCCAUGCCGCGUGAAUGAUGAAGGUCUUAGGAUUGUAAAAUUCUUUCACCGGGGACGAUAAUGACGGUACCCGGAGAAGAAGCCCCGGCUAACUUCGUGCCAGCAGCCGCGGUAAUACGAAGGGGGCUAGCGUUGCUCGGAAUUACUGGGCGUAAAGGGAGCGUAGGCGGACAUUUAAGUCAGGGGUGAAAUCCCGGGGCUCAACCUCGGAACUGCCCUUGAUACUGGAUGUCUUGAGUGUGAGAGAGGUAUGUGGAACUCCGAGUGUAGAGGUGAAAUUCGUAGAUAUUCGGAAGAACACCAGUGGCGAAGGCGACAUACUGGCUCAUUACUGACGCUGAGGCUCGAAAGCGUGGGGAGCAAACAGGAUUAGAUACCCGUGUAGUCCACGUACCA
rnacentral:rRNA from 1 species